rnacentral:tRNA from 1 species
UCCGGGGUAGCUCAACAGGAAGAGCAAACGGCUGUUAACCGUUAGGUUGCGGGUUCGAGCCCCGCCCCCGGAG